CAGGACAUGAUGUUGCACCAUAGAUGUUACUAAGUAUCUUGCCUACACCUUCAAGUAUGCAAUUUUGACCAAGAUGGAUGUUCUGAUCUUGAGCAUAGAAGGCCCUAGUUAAUUAGAUCCUCCUCCAGUUGAGAAGGAAGUAGUGGAUACUCUUAUUUGUAUGAGAGACUUUGGCAGGA